GUGCCAGCCGCCGCGGUAAUACGAAGGGGGCUAGCGUUGUUCGGAAUCACUGGGCGUAAAGCGCACGUAGGCGGACUUUCAAGUCAGGGGUGAAAUCCCGGAGCUCAACUUCGGAAUUGCCUUUGAUACUGUUGGUCUCGAGUCCGGAAGAGGUGGGUGGAAUUCCUAGUGUAGAGGUGAAAUUCGUAGAUAUUAGGAAGAACACCGGUGGCGAAGGCGGCCCACUGGUCCGGUACUGACGCUGAGGUGCGAAAGCGUGGGGAGCAAACAGGAUUAGAAACCCCCGUAGUCC
rnacentral:rRNA from 1 species